AGACAAAUUAAAAUCUCUCAACUGAAAACAUCGAUUUGUCAUGAAGCUCUCACUAUCAUCUACAAACUUAACAAACUAGUUCUCUAUAUUUUGAAGUGGCCAAAAAAGUUUCAUUCAUCUGUUCACUUUUUGAUAUAAAUGAAGGUUCUUGUCUGUUUUAUAAUAAUUGUCAUAAUAACCUCAUACGUUCGAUGUGAUUUUGACCCAACUCAACAUCCCAAUUGGCAUCUGGUCAAUGAUAAGCAAUGUGGUCUUCAGCCGGCUCUGAGAAUAUUUGGUGGGCAAGAUGCCAGCUUAGGAGAGUUUCCUUGGAUGGUCCUUGUGAUUACUGAUAAGAGAGACCCCAUUUCUGGCCAGACUCAUUUCUUCCAAUGUGGUGGAUCUAUAAUAAGUGAGAAAUACAUUCUGAGUGCUGCACACUGCUUCAUUGAUUUAAUUCAUGAUAUUUCCAACAUACGAUUCAUAGUUGGCGAUUAUGACUUAGCCAGUGAACCUGAUUGUGACGUCAAUGGUGUUUGUGCACCAACUCACAUUGAGUACCCUGCUUCCGAGGUUAUAUUACAUCAUGAGUACAUACCACAUGAUAAUUUCUCUUAUCAUCCUCAUGCAGACAUAGCUUUGGGCAGAGUUGAUCAAGGAUUCGUUUUUACAGAUUUUGUACUACCAAUCUGCUUGGAGUAUGGAUAUUUACUACACCAAAAUUAUGGUGGUCUGAUAGCUGAGACUAUUGGUUGGGGAGGAUAUCGUUUAACCCAAGGCGAUAAACUCGAGUAUCCGACUGUAAUACAGAAAGUCUCGCUGGAGGUGUUCGAUCAGCCGACCUGCACGCAAGCACUGUCCCUUAUUCCAGACUUCGCAUCUGUCAUUCCAGAAUGGCAGAUUUGCGCCGGGACUCAAACCCAAUACUCCCACCUCGGCGAUUCGGGAGGUCCCAUGUUCAUCGUGAAAUCCGUCCAGGGUGACAUUCCCAGACAAUUUCAGAUUGGCAUUUUUAUAAGCACUGCUCCAAUAGGAGACACCUCCUGGUACGGUGGUAUACGACCCAGCGGGUAUACUAGAGUUGCCAGCUACCUUCAAUGGAUUCUGGAUCAGAUGAGGGACUAGAUGGAAGAGAGAGAAAAAUAGAUAAAAAAUGGAGAUCUCCACUAUUCGUAUUUGAUGAAAUCAUAGAGAAAAGAUGGAGAUCUUUAGGCUAGUUUCACACACAUUCGGUUCGGUUCGGUUCGUUUCGUUCUCGGCAAAUUCCGAUAAGUGUGAAAGGGGGAUUCGGUUAGAAUUCGGUACCGAAUAGCAACCGCAUAGCACCGAACGCCCCCUCGAAGCGAAUAGGUUUUAUCAUAUUCGAAUCAGUUGCUAGGAAACCGGAAAUAAAAACAAAGUAUUUUACACACGCUUGCUUUUUUGUUUGUUUUAACGUGAUAUCGUGAUUAUUUGUUUCAAAAUCUUCCAUGUCAAAAUCAUAUGGUCGAUUCA